rfam:Cricetulus griseus cell line CHO-K1, whole genome shotgun sequence.
AUAGAGGUGGCUCAGUAGUUAAGAGCAUUGACUGUUCUUUCAGAGGACCUGGGUUCAAUUCCCAGCACCCAUA